rnacentral:lncRNA from 1 species
AGGCACCAGAGACCUCCCUCACGUCUUCUACCAUGUGAAGUUAGAGCAAAAAUGUGGCUGUCUGUGAACCAGGAAGCAGACCUCAGCAGACACUGGGCUUCACCCGACAGUGAACUUCCUGUCCUCCUGAACUGUGAGAAACAAAUUUAUGUUGUUUAUAGGCCACUCAGUUGAUUGAAUUUUGAGAGGGAACACAGGCAUCCACUCUUACUCUGCUGAGACAGAGUGGAUCACAGGGGAGACUGUCUGGAAUCCGGAGACUGUCCUCUCCAGCUUAGUCAGAACAAUGCUGUUAGGAACAUGAGUCCUUCGGGCUGUGAUAAGGAAGAGGACAUUUAAGGCCAGCAGAUGACAAAACUGAAGCCUCAAGAGCCUGACUUGCUCAUGGUGACAGCAGAAAUGAGAGGAGGACUCAAGAAUUGGACUUCAGAGUUCUCAUGUUCACGGCCAUAUUGAAAUUCCUAUGGGGUCUGCAUUGCAGGACUCCUCCCAGCUACACUGCAGUAUCAGUGGGGACAUGCUUUGCACAUUCUUGCCUUCAGCUCUCUGGCACUAUUUGCUCCAUGAAUUAUUCAAUGGCCUGGUGGCCAUUGCAGGCCAUAUGCAGAUGGCCCUGGAGAAUGCAUGGUGCACAGGGUAAUUCUAGUUUUCCAAUUAGCAGCAAGGUGCUGAGCUGCGAGCCCGAAGCCUACCUAUCUCCAGGAAUGGGUUACAGCUCUUCUCCACAGGGCAGUGCCAGGCUUUGUCAUUUCAUUCACCUCUGCAGUGUCUUCCUCUUGUUCUCCUCCUCCCAGAGGUCAUCUAUUUUCUACUCCCCUGAGAGCUCCAAGGCAAGGCUAAGAGUUAGAGGGGCACACUGCAGCAGAAAUGUGCAAGAGAAAAUGUGUAGGGAAUAAGGAAAGGGGACAUUACUAGAACCUCUGCAGUGGGUCCUAGUGUCCUGCGAGCCAUGGCAGCACAAGACGAAUUAACUUAUUAUACAGGAAAGGUAGAAAAAUGAGACUUUGAGAAGAAGCUGAGCUUUGGGCCUGAUCAGUGCUGCUCUGGGCGGCAAAGAGGAAAGCCCCCAGCUUCCUGCACCUUUUAUUCAGUAGGUCAGGAGAAAUAGAUGUAACAAAUGACUCAGGACAGAGAGUUCAGUGCAUGGGGAUAAACAAGGUGUAACAAUCCAAGAACAAUGAGGAACUGAGAAGAUGAAGAUUUGGUUCCUCCCAGGAUGUCUUCAGCUCGUGUAAUCUUGUCCUGGAGAAUCACAGUAUCACCGGAUCGUUGAGGUCUCAGUUGUGACCUGCGGGCCAAAAUAGAAUUAUGUCUCAAAAUGCCAUAGCUGGCCUGUAGGCAGGAGAAGUAGAAUUUUUCCCUAAAAUUAUGUAGCAUUGCUCCUGACAAAAAUGAAAUGAGAUGAAAGAUCGCCAUGAAGAGGUCUUGGGGGGAUUUCGUUAUUCAAAAGAAUUAUGAACAUAAUUCAAAAAAAGCACCAAUGGAGCUGAGCUGAGACGGAGCAUUGCUGUACAUCUUGUUUGAGCAAAUUGGUUCUUCGGUAUCUGAGUACUUGACUUUGUGCAGUGCAAGUCAGUCGCCUUCUUUGCCUCUGUUUCAUAAAGAAGAGGGCAGAGACCAUUUUCACCAACUGUGGGGAGGGUACAGUCACUAGGGAAGGGGUGUAGUCAAUUAUUUGCAGAAUGGCCUUUUGACAUGAAGACAUUGGAUAAGAUUAAUUUUUUGAUCUGUUGCAACAAGUGUGAGGCUAGGGGUAUUGUUCUUUCUUGAGAUUUUUCUCAUCUUGCCAGCAGAAAAAGUUGGGCAUCUUGUAGGAGGCUGAUGCGUCCUUACCUCACAGAUAGUAUGAAUUAUGUACCUGGUAAUGGUGCCCUCUUCCCUCUGGCUGUUUACAGAAGGCAGAACCUCUCUGUCUGCCCAGCUCUGGAAGCACGAGGGAUUUCACAGGAAUGCCUUUUAUGUUCUAGCUUACCCACGGUGCUAUUCUAGUCUAUCUUAUUUUCUUUGUCUUUUUCUCCCCUGGCUUAUGUUUAACUGACUGCCCCUUGUUGAACUGUAUGCAUCUAUGCCAGCCAUCCUUGGUCUUUCCCAAGAUGAAACCAAUAAAC